AUACUGUGUUGUUUGAGUUUCUUCACACGGAGAUGGUGGCUGAGCUGUGGGCUCACGACCCCGGCCCGGGGGUGAGCGCCGGGCUCCGUGGGGAGGAAGCGGGGGCCACCAAGGGACAGAAGAUGAGCCUGUCGGUCCUGGAGGGUAUGGGGUUCCGUGUGGGCCAGGCUCUAGGCGAGAGGCUGCCCCGAGAGAUGCUGGCCUUCAGGGAGGAGCUCGAUGUCCUGAAGUUCUUGUGCAAAGACCUGUGGGUGGCUGUGUUCCAGAAGCAGAUGGACAGCCUGCGCACCAAUCACCAGGUGGGAGCACCCCGACCUGCCUGUCCAGCUCCCUCCUGAGGGCAAGACCAAGAGAGUGAGAGAGGAAGCCCCGGCGCCAGAGCAGCGGCUGCCGGGACCCGCCCAGAGCUUUUCCACAGGCGGCCAC
rnacentral:sRNA from 1 species